UCAGCGGCGGACGGGUGAGUAAUGCCUAGGAAUCUGCCUGAUAGUGGGGGACAACGUUUCGAAAGGAACGCUNNNNNCGCAUACGUCCUACNNNANNNNNCAGGGGANNNUCGGGCCUUGCGCUAUCAGAUGAGCCUAGGUCGGAUUAGCUAGUAGGUGAGGUAAUGGCUCACCUNNNCGACGAUCCGUAACUGGUCUGAGAGGAUGAUCAGUCACACUGGAACUGAGACACGGUCCAGACUCCUACGGGAGGCAGCAGUGGGGAAUAUUGGACAAUGGGCGAAAGCCUGAUCCAGCCAUGCCGCGUGUGUGAAGAAGGUCUUCGGAUUGUAAAGCACUUUAAGUUGGGAGGAAGGGCAGUAAGUUAAUACCUUGCUGUUUUGACGUUACCAACAGAAUAAGCACCGGCUAACUUCGUGCCAGCAGCCGCGGUAAUACGAAGGGUGCAAGCGUUAAUCGGAAUUACUGGGCGUAAAGCGCGCGUAGGUGGUUCAGCAAGUUGGAGGUGAAAUCCCCGGGCUCAACCUGGGAACUGCCUCCAAAACUACUGAGCUAGAGUACGGUAGAGGGUAGUGGAAUUUCCUGUGUAGCGGUGAAAUGCGUAGAUAUAGGAAGGAACACCAGUGGCGAAGGCGACUACCUGGACUGAUACUGACACUGAGGUGCGAAAGCGUGGGGAGCAAACAGGANNAGAUACCCUGGUAGUCCACGCCGUANACGAUGUCGACUAGCCGUUGGGAUCCUUGAGAUCUUAGUGGCGCAGCUAACGCAUUNNNUCGACCGCCUGGGGAGUACGGCCGCAAGNNNAAAACUCNAAUGAAUUGACGGGGGCCCGCA
rnacentral:rRNA from 1 species